UCCGUCCGUGCCUGGAGCAGCGCCGCGCCGCGCCGCGCGCCAAUGGCGCGAGCGAGCGAGCAAGCCGAGCGUUCGAUUCCUCUUUAGGGUCUCCCUUCCCUUAGCGUCAUUCGCUGCGUCUCGCGAGUGUGCAAAGGGAGAUCCGUGUACAAUGGGCAAGAAAACUGUAUCUUCAGUGAAAAUGAGUACUUAUGGAGCUCCUGUAUUACUGAGGAAAUUUAUCAAUUUCCAACUGAAUUUGGCACCGGAUAGAAGUGUUUCACUGAAAUUCAUCAAAUCAAGAUAUAUGGCUUAUGAGGAAUGUGUAUAAGCUGCUCCGUUCCACAGUUCAACAAAUAAUAGUAAAUAUGGUUCUUUCUUUUGCAAUAAAAGUUUAAAAAUGCCUUAUGUCAUUCUGUAUGAAACGUACCGAAUUCUCUUAUUCCUAAUUGCUUGUACGUGCACAUGCCACUGAUAUGGAAGGUAACACAAUAAAGUGGGCAAAUGUGGUACAAGUGUAGGGGACAUGGUGUUUGGAGAGACUUUGGUGUCAAAAG